AUCCAGCUGACGGGUACCAAAUAGGACGAAACGCGCGUCCUGGAU
rfam:Schistosoma mansoni strain Puerto Rico chromosome 2, complete genome